UCAAAACUUUCAACAACGGAUCUCUUGGUUCUGGCAUCGAUGAAGAACGCAGCGAAAUGCGAUAAGUAAUGUGAAUUGCAGAAUUCAGUGAAUCAUCGAAUCUUUGAACGCACAUUGCGCCCUCUGGUAUUCCGGGGGGCAUGCCUGUUCGAGCGUCAUUACA
rnacentral:rRNA from 1 species